GUACGGGGGGGUAAGCGUUGUUCGGAAUUACUGGGCGUAAAGGGCUCGUAGGCGGCCAACUAAGUCGGACGUGAAAUCCCUCAGCUUAACUGGGGAACUGCGUCCGAUACUGGAUGGCUUGGAUUUGGGAGAGGGAUGCGGAAUUCCAGGUGUAGCGGUGAAAUGCGUAGAUAUCUGGAGGAACACCGGUGGCGAAGGCGGCAUCCUGGACCAACAUUGACGCUGAGGAGCGAAAGGCUAGGGGAGCAAACGGG
rnacentral:rRNA from 1 species